rnacentral:rRNA from 1 species
UACGAAGGGGCUAGCGUUGUUCGGAAUUACUGGGCGUAAAGCGCAUGCAGGUGGAUCGCUAAGUCAGGGUGAAGCCCGAGGCUCAACCUCGGAACUGCCUUGAUACUGGCGAUCUUGAGUCUGGAGAGGUGAGUGGAACUCCGAGUGUAGAGGUGAAAUUCGUAGAUAUUCGGAAGAACACCAGUGGCGAAGGCGGCUCACUGGCCCGGUACUGACACUGAGAUGCGAAAGCGUGGGAGCAAACAGG